GACGAACGCUGGCGGCGUGCUUAACACAUGCAAGUCGUACGGUAAGGCCCUUUCGGGGGUACACGAGUGGCGAACGGGUGAGUAACACGUGAGUAACCUGCCCACAACUUUGGGAUAACGCUGGGAAACUGGUGCUAAUACUGGAUAUGUGCUCCUUCUGCAUGGUGGGGGUUGGAAAGCUCCGGCGGUUGUGGAUGGACUCGCGGCCUAUCAGCUUGUUGGUGGGGUAGUGGCCUACCAAGGCGGCGACGGGUAGCCGGCCUGAGAGGGUGACCGGCCACAUUGGGACUGAGAUACGGCCCAGACUCCUACGGGAGGCAGCAGUGGGGAAUAUUGCACAAUGGGCGCAAGCCUGAUGCAGCAACGCCGCGUGCGGGAUGACGGCCUUCGGGUUGUAAACCGCUUUCAGCAGGGACGAAGCUUUUUGUGACGGUACCUGCAGAAGAAGCACCGGCUAACUACGUG
rnacentral:rRNA from 1 species